GAUGAACGCUGGCGGCGUGCCUAAUACAUGCAAGUCGAGCGAACGGACGAGAAGCUUGCUUCUCUGAUGUUAGCGGCGGACGGGUGAGUAACACGUGGUUAACCUACCUAUAAGACUGGGAUAACUUCGGGAAACCGGAGCUAAUACCGGAUAAUAUUUUGAACCGCAUGGUUCAAAAGUGAAAGACGGUCUUGCUGUCACUUAUAGAUGGAUCCGCGCUGCAUUAGCUAGUUGGUAAGGUAACGGCUUACCAAGGCAACGAUGCAUAGCCGACCUGAGAGGGUGAUCGGCCACACUGGAACUGAGACACGGUCCAGACUCCUACGGGAGGCAGCAGUAGGGAAUCUUCCGCAAUGGGCGGAAGCCUGACGGAGCAACGCCGCGUGAGUGAUGAAGGUCUUCGGAUCGUAAAACUCUGUUAUUAGGGAAGAACAUAUGUGUAAGUAACUGUGCACAUCUUGACGGUACCUAAUCAGAAAGCCACGGCUAACUACGUG
rnacentral:rRNA from 1 species